rnacentral:rRNA from 1 species
CCUACGGGAGGCAGCAGUGGGGGAUAUUGCACAAUGGGGGAAACCCUGAUGCAGCGACGCCGCGUGGGUGAAGAAGCGCCUCGGCGCGUAAAGCCCUGUCAGCAGGGAAGAAAAUGACGGUACCUGAAGAAGAAGCCCCGGCUAACUACGUGCCAGCAGCCGCGGUAAUACGUAGGGGGAAAGCGUUAUCCGGAUAUACUGGGUGUAAAGGGGGCGCAGACGGCGAUGCAAGCCAGGAGUGAAAGCCCGGGGCCCAACCCCGGGACUGCUCUUGGAACUGCGUGGCUAGAGUGCAGGAGGGGCAGGCGGAAUUCCUGGUGUAGCGGUGAAAUGCGUAGAUAUCAGGAGGAACACCGGUGGCGAAGGCGGCCUGCUGGACUGCAACUGACGUUGAGGCCCGAAAGCGUGGGGAGCAAACAGGAUUAGAUACCCCAGUAGUC